rnacentral:rRNA from 1 species
GGUCCGAACCCACUAGUGUUAGAAAACUAGGGGAUGAGCUGUGGAUAGGGGUAGAAAGGACUAAACAAAUACCGGAAAUAGCUGGUUCUCCCCGAAAACUAUUUAGGUAGUGCGUCAUGUAUCACUUGCGGGGGUAAAGCACUGUUAUGGCUAGGGGGUCAUCGCGACUUACCAAACCAUGGCAAACUCUGAAUACCGCAAAGUGCGAGCAUGGCAGACAGACAGUGGGUGCUAACGUUCAUUGUCGAGAGGGAAACAACCCAGACCGCCAGCUAAGGUCCCAAAGACACAGUUAAGUGGGAAAACGAAGUGGGAAGGCAUAGACAGCUAGGAGGUUGGCUUAGAAGCAGCCACCCUUUAAAGAAAGCGUAAUAGCUCACUAGUCGAGUCGUCCUGCGCGGAAGAUGU